UACGUAGGGGGCAAGCGUUGUCCGGAUUUAUUGGGCGUAAAGAGCUCGUAGGCGGCUUAGUAAGUCGGGUGUGAAACCUCCAGGCUCAACCUGGAGACGCCACCCGAUACUGCUGUGGCUAGAGUCCGGUAGGGGAGCGUGGAAUUCCUGGUGUAGCGGUGAAAUGCGCAGAUAUCAGGAGGAACACCAGCGGCGAAGGCGGCGCUCUGGGCUGGAACUGACGCUGAGGAGCGAAAGCGUGGGUAGCAAACAGG
rnacentral:rRNA from 1 species